ACACUCCUGCGGGAGGCAGCAGUGGGGAAUUUUGGACAAUGGGCGAAAGCCUGAUCCAGCAAUGCCGCGUGUGUGAAGAAGGCCUUCGGGUUGUAAAGCACUUUUGUCCGGAAAGAAAUCCUUGGCUCUAAUACAGUCGGGGGAUGACGGUACCGGAAGAAUAAGCACCGGCUAACUACGUGCCAGCAGCCGCGGUAAUACGUAGGGUGCGAGCGUUAAUCGGAAUUACUGGGCGUAAAGCGUGCGCAGGCGGUUUGCUAAGACCGAUGUGAAAUCCCCGGGCUCAACCUGGGAACUGCAUUGGUGACUGGCAGGCUAGAGUAUGGCAGAGGGGGGUAGAAUUCCACGUGUAGCAGUGAAAUGCGUAGAGAUGUGGAGGAAUACCGAUGGCGAAGGCAGCCCCCUGGGCCAAUACUGACGCUCAUGCACGAAAGCGUGGGGAGCAAACAGGAUUAGAUACCCUGGUAGUCCCAUG
rnacentral:rRNA from 1 species